UCGGGGCGGGGACGUCUGGGGAAGCAGCCUCUGUCUGCUGUCAACCCUGUUCAGUGGUACUUGAAAUAGGUUGUCUGUGAGGUGUUCUCUUUUCUAAACGAUGAAUAUUAUACAGUCAACCUCUUUCCGAUAUCGAAUCCCACCUUGGACACCUCCGGUGCUGAUUCCGAAGCCUCCAUACAGGUUGACCUGGGGACUUGAUGUAGCACAAGCAACCGGCUUGUUCAUUUUCCAGCUGCAUCCAUUCUGGAGGGUUCCUGAGAGCAGCACGGAGCGGACCCCCUGCCCGGCUCCCGCAGUCCCUGACUGCCGCACUGCCAGGGUGCUGGGCUAGGUUUACCUGCCGAUUCUUCCUUCAAGUUGGCACCACCACCCCCACCCCGACCCUACCCAGACCCCGCAAGGCAGGAUCACCCAGGGCGUGGGAAGGGUCCAGGGCAGGGGCUGGGGAGCGCCUCCAAAGGAUGACCUCGGGCUGUUUGGUGUUUGUUAUUUGCCUCCUGAGCUACCGGAAGCCCCUUCUGACGUGGGCAUCAUUCCCACCCCCAUGAAGCAACAUCCUUAACCUCUUACAUCUCCUCUCUGGGCAUGCUUUUCUCCCCAUUGGUUCCUCUUCUGGCCCAUGGCACAGAGGGGUUGCUCCAGCUCCAGGAAGACCAGCAGUGACCACGCCAAUGGAGCAUCAGGACUCUAAGUUCUACAGACACUCCUCCUUCUCAUGAGGUCCUCAUGCUCCCUCUCCAGGCCCCCAGCCACAACCCUGUCGGAGGGACCACCCUUUCUGGCCUGGACCACCACACAGACCCCCCACAUGGGUCUCCUUCCAGGCUCCCUUCUCCUCCUUUUGCCAGGGAGAACCUUCCAGAGUGCAGUCUGGCUCUCUCUGUCCUGUCCAGAGCCCCUCUUUGGCCACCCCCUGCCCUCAUGCUGGGCUCCAAAACAGUAACUAGUGUCUCAGAGCCCCCAGACUGGCCCACCUCCCCUGCCUGCCACACUUUACGGUUUAUCCCCCUUUUAGGUCCAUCCAUCUUUCUGAUCGAGUUGAGUCCUAAGCAUGCUCUUCAUGCUCCUUUUUGGGGACCCUCAGCAGAGUCUCUUGCUUCCCCCUUCCCCCACCAAUUGUUGCCCCCUUUCUAGAGCAGGGAUUUGGGAUUCCAGAGGUGAUGAAAUGUCUCUUGUUGGCAAAGCUGUCUCUGAUCACCCAGUCUGGCCCCUACCUCUUCCUAGCCACCUCUUUCAUCAUCCUGUUAAUACUGUCUUCCUAGCUUAUCUGAAAUUACAUGAAAUUAAACUAAAUGGAUGUUAAUAUUUUCUGUCUCCCCCUUAGAUUGUAAAAUUUCUCAGGGCAGGAGUUUUUUUCUGUCAUGUUUCCUGCUGUGCCCCCAGUCCUAGGAUCCAGGCCAGGACCAGAGUAGAGAAAAGGUGAGUGAGUGUUGAUUGACUAACCGACUCCCUGAGGGCUGGGACCUUAUCAAGUGAAUCUCUAGGAAAGUGCCAAGGCACUCAAAAGAUGUGGUGAUAAGCAUAUGAAUAUGGUAAUUGGUUUUUAGAAUUUCUUCACAUUUGUUAAAAGCUGUUUGGUUUUCCAUGUUUUUCUGCCCCUUGCAGGAUGUCAUUUGAGAGUCAGGGGUUUGCUGUUGGGUCUGGGCCCUUCUUUCCACUUUCUAGUGCCCCCAGGGCCCCAAAAGGAGUGAUAAGCCUCAGUACAACCCCACACAUGCCAAUUGAGCCCCCUCCCCACUUUCUAGCCAACUCUCCAGCACCCAGAGCCAGGUGUUAUGGGAACUACAUCUGCAACAGGCUGGAGCGUAGUGUUGAGGCUAAUAUUUUAUGCAUGGAACUGAGAGAAUGGGGACAUUUGGAGAUGAAAAUUGUUGUUAAUGCAUCCACACAUCUUUGGAAUACAUUAAAUGUAUGUAGGUGGAUGGGAGGCAACAUUAGCCUUUAUUUAAUAGCUCCAAUGUAACCAUCUCCACACCGCAACACAGCAGUAAUGAGCACGGCCGCCUGAGUCCCCUCAUCGCCCAGGCUGCCGCGCGGAGAAGCGUUGGGUACAUUGCCGCCACUCGAGAAUUAUGCAUGAGACAAAGUGUCAGCCCAGGGUACCAGGCACUGGGCAGCGUGCGGUGUCCAACGUCACUCUAGACCCGAAGACGGGUGACCCUGUGCUGCUCGGUGCAGAAUUUCAUUAAAAGCCAAAUUACUGGUUUAUCUAUUGUUUGAAGAGACGAGAAAAUAAACAAAGGGCCUGUUUUCAUCUGACAAACCGAAUGAAAAUGUCCGCACAGAGGCCAGGAGGACAGGCACAGUGGACCCCGGAGCCAGAGGGUCAGUGACUUGGGGCCACCACCCAGGCACUGUGUCAGUGAACCCGCUGUGGGUCCAGACUCAGGGCCGCUGACCGCUUUCUGGUGCCUGUGUGGGCAAGGGCCCCCGCGGCUGCAAAUGCUCCUUGCGCGAUGACGUAGGCUCACUUUCCCCAACAUUCAGCUUGCCAUGCUUUUCACAGUUGUCCCUGCACCCUGCAUUUAGUGCCGUUACUUUCGGAAUGGGAUAUUUGCAGUUGGGUGUAGUCCCUACCGCCCCUGGCCCAGAGGGUGGGCCACUCACCCCAUCGGGAGACCCAGGGCACGGUGGGGAUCUGAAUACCCAGGGCCCAUGCGGAGCAGCUUUGAGCGCAUUUGAUGGCUCUGUUUGCCCCCGGGUGAGUACAGAUCUAGUCAGAAUGAACACUCAGACCAGCCGCGGGGCUCUGCUGGGUGGGCUCGGCUCCCCCUGUCUGUGCUCUCCCCAACCCUCACUUGCACCCCGAGUCACCAGGGUCAGCACCUGGUGCAGCCCUGGGGACCCACAGAGGUCUCAGUUCUCAUGGGCCUUUGAGGAUGCAAAGCCCCCCAACUCCAAAUCCCAGGGCUGAGUGGGACCCCUGAGUUUAUUCCCCUUCUCUUCUGUCCCUCCACUCACAUUCUCAUGCGGAUAAGAAAACUGAGGUCCAAGGGGACAGAGUGCUUUGUCGUGGCUGUUUUUCCCGAGGCUGGUCUCAGACUUUGGGAUCAAGACCCAUCUCUGGCAAAUAGGCAGUUUCCCUCUUAUUGACAGGGGGAUGACAGGGGGUGACCCAGCACCCCGAGGCUAUGAGAGGGAGUCCCAGGUGGAACUCAGUACCUUGGUUCUCAAGGGGUUGUAUGUGGGGAUGUAUGACAUUGCUGCCUUGCCACAGAGCUUCUAGAAGCCAGGGCGCUCACUCUGCAGUGUCAGCUCAGCUCAUAGUUGGUGGUCAGUGAAUAGCUGGACUGAAGCUGGCCUCAGACAACAGUGCAAAGCAGGUAGUCAACCAGGGAGUGUGUUGAAUCAGGUCUUUAUUACCCGGAGGAAGCACACAGGAGGCGCGGGGAGGACGUUUGUGGAAUGAAUAAAUAAAAGCGUGCUCUUUGAGGGAAUGAAGAAGCAGAGAAACUGAAAAGAAUCUAGGGAAGAUGGACAUAAAUCUCCACCGUGUGCCGCCAAGGCUCUGUAGUCGAGGCCUCUGAAAAGACCCUGCAGAGGCUGAGGGGCCAUUUGUCACAGUAGGGACGGGCUCAAGGGCCAAGAAGCAAGGGUGUGAUGGAGACUCGUUCAUCAUUUUCACAUUAUCCUGGCGGCAAUGGAGAGGAGCCCAUGAGUGCACAGCCAAGCUGCCCCCCACCUGAUGGAAUGAGUGCCAGGCUGGGGUGGGGAAGGAUCCUGAGGAAGUGCAGGCUGGGCUGGGGGAGCAGGCAGGCAUCUCAGUGCCCACCUCAUGCCCUUAGUGCUGCAGUAUUGUUUUCAUUUAGCCCAGUAUGAGUCCCCUGGGCCCUGCUCCAAUGCCACUUCCUACAGGAAGCCCUCCCAGAUCUGCCAAGCCUGAUCCAUACAGAAUGUCAAUCUGCAGUCAGAUAUCAGUCUUCUGAGUCUUUGAUCAACAGGUAUCUCCUUGCAAAGCCUGCAAGCUCCAUGGGAGCAGGGGCUGUGUCUGGUGUGGUCCCUGUGGGGCCCCUGUGCCUGGUUGGGAACUCAGCCCUGGGGAAGGCACCAUAUCAUGCUCUUGGCCAUGUCUGCCCUUUGCAGGCACUCUGGACCUGGCACCCGGCAGGUGCCUGGUAUGUAGACAUCCCACGGGCCGAGCCUUGGGUAGACCCCAAGCAAGAGCCAAGGGCGGAGCCAGAGCUGGCCACAAGGAGAACUUCUGCCUAGAGAAGUCUGACUGUGAGCUGAGGAGCCUGACCUGACCCUGGAGGCAUUCUUUGGGUCUGGGCUGCGCCAUGGUCCCCGCUGAUGAACCAGGCGGAGGGCACCCAUGCCCCAGCAGAUCGAUGCACAGCACCCUGCCUGCCGCACCCAGGAAGCUGGGGGAGACCCCUGCACCCCCCGCCCCCCCACCAUUUGAAGGACCCAGACUGAUCUCCAGGGGGCCAGUCCUGCUGCAGAUGGACAGGCCUUCACAUGGACCCUGGGGAGGACCCUGUGGACUCAGGGGAGACAAACUCAAGGCCAGUAACCAUGCCGUGUCCCACCAGAUAGUGGGGCUUCUGGAAGGUGAAAAUGCUGGCUAGAAGGAUGUAAGAAUUCCUGCUCUUCCUCUUCAGAUACUCUUCAAAUACAGACCAUUUAAAUAAUAAAUACAUGUUAUCAAAAUCUAAA